rnacentral:lncRNA from 1 species
UGUCAGUCUUAGGAUCUCUGUUUUAAUGUUAAUGCUGGUCACUUGUACCUGAACUUCCUAAGAGAGAGGGUAUAGUGAGGUAUGUCUGACCCCCACCCCACCCCACUUCCUGUCAUGACCUGAACUAGUUUUUCAGGUUUCUUUCGAAUCUCCUUUGUUGAGAGGGGAUGCAUUCAGUCACUUGGGGGACUUUUAUUUUAUUUUUGGUUUACAAAAGUGAGGGAUAUCUGAGUCUAGAGCAGACUGAAGAGGAGGGGAAGUACAGUCCCCAGAUAAAGGCCUUCAGAUGUCAUCUCUCACUAGCAUGCAGGCCACAGCCCAGAGGGACAUGACACAGCAUUUUUAUUAGGCUUAAUGUUCCAGGCCAGGCACGGUGGCUCAUGCCUGUAAUCCCAGCACUUCAGGAAGCCGAGGAUACCAAGGAGAAGACUGAGCAUCACCCAAAGGCUUGGCAUACUCUCUGGGUUGUAUGCAGGAAGGCUGUGUCACCUUAGGUGCAGAACAAGCAAUUCUGAACAUUCUGCAAGCCAGCGGCAGAUGUGUAGAGGGCACACUGCUGAUUCUGUAAAUAGAAUCUUGAAAUGUGACAAAAUACAGGAUUUAUAAAUGGCAAUGGUUUGCCUGGGAGACUUCAGCAUUUCCAAGGGCUUCCCAGUGACAACUUUUGCACAUGUCCGUCCCUCUCCCAGGAAGACUCUGCACCCUGCUCUGCCGUCCCUGCUAGGCUAAUGCCCUGUCAACCUUGAAGUCUUACCUUAAGGGAACAUCUGCACCUUGCCCAUUUCUAGCACUGUUGCUACUUACCACAUUCUGUCCUGACCAUCUCCUGAUGCCUACUAUCAAGCACAUGGAAUCUAUUUCCUGUCGAAACCUCUGCAGUGUAAAAUGUCAUAAUCUUCCUUCUACAAUUAACUUCAUAAGAAGAGCAAGCACUACGGCAGAUGUUACAACAUUUUGUUUUUCUUUGAAUUGUCAUGUGAUAUAUUACACAGUCAUACCUUACUCUGUGCAAGAAUUUGGAUCCUGGAACCAAGUAAUAAUUUAAAUUUAGAAAUCUAAUAAAUAUUUUAACUUCAUAGCACUGUUUAAAGUUAUACACCCAUGAAUAUUUUAGAACUAAAAUGAAGACUUCUUCAUUUAUAUGAUUAAAAAUUGUACUGUUACUGUACACAGUUGCUUCAACUUAUAUGAUUGAAAAUUGUACUGUUACUGUACACUAUUGUCAAAACUUCCUUUUGCUUUUAAUAAAAAGCAAUUUCACCUCACAGGUUUACCUUUCUUUAGCACUUUCAUUGAAAUAACUGAAAUAUGUGUGUAAGCGUGUGUGUGUGUGU